AUGAACGCUAGCGACAGGCUUAACACAUGCAAGUCGAGGGGCAGCAUGAUUUGUAGCAAUACAGAUUGAUGGCGACCGGCGCACGGGUGAGUAACGCGUAUGCAACUUACCUAUCAGAGGGGGAUAGCCCGGCGAAAGUCGGAUUAAUACCCCAUAAAACAGGGGUCCCGCAUGGGAAUAUUUGUUAAAGAUUCAUCGCUGAUAGAUAGGCAUGCGUUCCAUUAGGCAGUUGGCGGGGUAACGGCCCACCAAACCGACGAUGGAUAGGGGUUCUGAGAGGAAGGUCCCCCACAUUGGUACUGAGACACGGACCAAACUCCUACGGGAGGCAGCAGUGAGGAAUAUUGGUCAAUGGCCGAGAGGCUGAACCAGCCAAGUCGCGUGAAGGAAGAAGGAUCUAUGGUUUGUAAACUUCUUUUAUAGGGGAAUAAAGUGGAGGACGUGUCCUUUUUUGUAUGUACCCUAUGAAUAAGCAUCGGCUAACUCCGUGCCAGCAGCCGCGGUAAUACGGAGGAUGCGAGCGUUAUCCGGAUUUAUUGGGUUUAAAGGGUGCGUAGGUGGUGAUUUAAGUCAGCGGUGAAAGUUUGUGGCUCAACCAUAAAAUUGCCGUUGAAACUGGGUUACUUGAGUGUGUUUGAGGUAGGCGGAAUGCGUGGUGUAGCGGUGAAAUGCAUAGAUAUCACGCAGAACUCCGAUUGCGAAGGCAGCUUACUAAACCAUAACUGACACUGAAGCACGAAAGCGUGGGGAUCAAACAGGAUUAGAUACCCUGGUAGUCCACGCAGUAAACGAUGAAUACUAACUGUUUGCGAUACAAUGUAAGCGGUACAGCGAAAGCGUUAAGUAUUCCACCUGGGGAGUACGCCGGCAACGGUGAAACUCAAAGGAAUUGACGGGGGCCCGCACAAGCGGAGGAACAUGUGGUUUAAUUCGAUGAUACGCGAGGAACCUUACCCGGGUUUGAACGUAGUCUGACCGGAGUGGAAACACUCUUUCUAGCAAUAGCAGAUUACGAGGUGCUGCAUGGUUGUCGUCAGCUCGUGCCGUGAGGUGUCGGCUUAAGUGCCAUAACGAGCGCAACCCUUAUCACUAGUUACUAACAGGUGAAGCUGAGGACUCUGGUGAGACUGCCAGCGUAAGCUGUGAGGAAGGUGGGGAUGACGUCAAAUCAGCACGGCCCUUACAUCCGGGGCGACACACGUGUUACAAUGGCAUGGACAAAGGGCAGCUACCUGGUGACAGGAUGCUAAUCUCCAAACCAUGUCUCAGUUCGGAUCGGAGUCUGCAACUCGACUCCGUGAAGCUGGAUUCGCUAGUAAUCGCGCAUCAGCCAUGGCGCGGUGAAUACGUUCCCGGGCCUUGUACACACCGCCCGUCAAGCCAUGGGAGCCGGGGGUACCUGAAGUCCGUAACCGCAAGGAUCGGCCUAGGGUAAAACUGGUGACUGGGGCU
rnacentral:rRNA from 1 species